rnacentral:rRNA from 1 species
CCUACGGGAGGCAGCAGUGAGGAAUAUUGGUCAAUGGGCUUACGCCUGAACCAGCCAAGUCGCGUGAGGGAAGACUGCCCUAUGAGUUGUAAACCUCUUUUGUCAGGGAGCAACGCCGGCUACGUGUAGCCGGACUGUGAGUACCUGAAGAAAAAGCAUCGGCUAACUCCGUGCCAGCAGCCGCGGUAAUACGGAGGAUGCGCGCGUUAUCCGGAUUUAUUGGGUUUAAAGGGUGCGUAGGCGGAAUGCCAAGUCAGAGGUAAAAGCGCGGGGCUCAACCUCGCUCCGCCGUUGAAACUGGCGUUCUUGAGUGGGCGAGAAGUAUGCGGAAUGCGUGGUGUAGCGGUGAAAUGCAUAGAUAUCACGCAGAACUCCGAUUGCGAAGGCAGCAUACCGGCGCCCAACUGACGCUGAAGCACGAAAGCGUGGGUAUCGAACAGGAUUAGAUACCCCUGUAGUC